rnacentral:piRNA from 1 species
AGCCAUGCCAAGUCUUAAGUUUGGGAAGGA